GUUAAGAGUUCUCAAAAUUAAGUACACUGACAUGAAACUUCUGCCUGGGGACCGUCUCUUUGGGAUUUUGUUUUUAUAGGUUGUCCUUAAUGACCUGGAAUUGUUAUAACAGCUGUCAACUGAGGUAAGCUUCACAGAAGGGGAGCUGCCCUUACCUCCAGAGAGGAGCUUUUAAUUUCCUAUUUUUGGAAAUAACAGAAAGCACAGAGGACUCUUCUGAAAGGGAAACAACAGGCCACCCCAAGGCACUGGGAGGAGAACAGACCUGGUGCUAAACGGGGAUAUUUGAGAGCAAGUCCUCUGAGAAGCAGAGACAGCAUCAGCCUGCUCUUGUCUUCUGUAAUUAAUGGGGAGUCCUUGGAUCUUUGUAUAAGACCCUUUAAUCUAAGGGUUGCUAAAUGUUUUACAAACAUUAAUUAAUUCAAUUAGACUUUGCACCACCACCUUGAGGCAGGUAAUUCCUCUUUGGGAUAUCGCAUCUUUGCUUGCUACCACAGACUAUUUUAGAGCAGAUUAGGAUAAUUAAGGUAAAGCCUUGAGUUUAGAUAAAGUUCUAUAACUAAAGGUCUCCAGUACUUUACAAAUAGCAGAUUUGUGUAAUGAGGACUGAGGAGGAAGAUUGAGCCAGCUUAUUGCCAGUGAUGACAAGGCAGAGAUAUUGCACUUGUUUCAGGUUCCUCUCCAUGGUAAAGACACAUGACCUUGAAUAGCUCUUUGUGACCUCUUUAUGACUCAGUUCCUACAGCUUUCAAAUGGGGGCAAUGAUAUUACUCACCUCCCUACUUCACAGAGAUGUUGCAAAAAAUAAUAUUUGUAAUAUGCUGUGAGUUCUCAGAUGAAAGAUGGAAAUUAACAUAUAAUGAAACAUUAUUACUGUUUAUCAUCACACAAUCUAAGUGGGCCAGACAAGUGAAGCAUCAGCAUCCCCGCGGUCCUGGCAGAGAAACCGGUCCUGCCAUUAUUUCCAUUGAACAUCUAUUCUAGACACUCACAGAGGUUGAGAACUGCUCAGAGCAACAGGCAUGCUCCUAAGAUAAUCAAAAGCAAACUGAGAUGCCAGAUCAGCAGAGGUAGCUAAGUAUUUAUCCUUUUUAUUUUCCAUUCCCAUUCUUUUUUGGGAGAGAGUAUUUGAGAAAAAAUGAGUUCAGGGAGAGAAUCAGAGAAUGAAUGAAGGAUCUUUUCCUCUUGGACAUUCCUCUCAAUUCUAAGAUCUGGGCAUACUGAAGUUAAUCAAACUCAUGUUAAGUGAAUGAGUGAAUGGAAUCCUUCAGGAAAAUGUCAAGAUGAGAAUUCAGACCACACCAAAUCCUCAUCUGCCAUUCUUACUAUGCCACAUCCGAACCUGUGAGGCACAUGCAGUGUAGAAUAGAAAUACUGAACAGGCACAAUUAAGGAAAGAGGGUGAAUUCAAGAAUAACUUUUCAAACAAUGUUCCAAAGAGAAAUAGAAGACUAAACUUAGAAGGUUCAAGAAAACUGUCUACAUAAAUACGGUAUUACAUAGAAGGACCGAGUCGCUUUGGCACCUGAUUCGUAUAAUAUGAGAGCACAGGCUAAUCCGGAACAAUAGGGAUAUUUAUGGAGUUCAGUUUGCUUUCCAUGUUAUUGUCACUCUGUGCACUAAGCUCAGACUCAGACCUGGCAUUCGGGACCUCCAUGCAUGGCGUUGGUCCAUAUUUCCCUGCCACAUGUCACUCCCCUCUUCUUCCUUCAUGCAGCCCGUGCUGCAGUGGGGCUGAUGGGCUUGCUCUGAACAUGACCAUGUGUUUCUCCCUCUGAUGAUUCCCUUGCUUGAGAUGCUCUUUCCUGUGGCCUUACUCUUUGUCCGAGCCUCAGCAUCUCCACCUGUUGAAGCCUUUUUUGUCUCUUUCCAAGGCCUUUCUCAAAAUGCUUCCUUCACAAAGAGGCUUUUCUGGUCAUAUAAAUGCAAACCUCUUUGCAGAGCACUUUGAAUGUGCCAAAUAAAUGUGUAGAAGAGGCAUUAGUCCAGUAACUAGGAUCAUGGAUUGGGAGAGCUGCAUUGCCUGGGUCCGAAUACUCAUUCUGUCACUUACUAAUGGUUUGAAUGUAGGCAAAUUACUUAAUGUCUGCGCCUGUGUUUCCUUGUCCGUCAAAUAAGAAUGACCAGAAUGGUAUCAACCACAGAGGCUUUUGUCAGGAUCGUGUGCAACAGUGAGUGUCAACUGUGUAGAAUUGUGCCUCAUAUCUGGAAGUGUUCUGUAAAUGCUCUCUUUGCUUUCCCACACAACCUAGCCCUGUUUCUGGAUAUGGUUAUGUUUGUAGACCCAAAGCACUAAGUGAGGGUGAGUGCUGUCCAUAAGCAGUGUUGCCAUAGAUAAAAUCUAGAUGUUUACCACUAGAACUCCCAAGGAACCUGAGGAAACUCUCUCACUACUGGAGUCCUCAGCUCUACUGAACCAGGUUUGUGGAAAAUAAUUUUCCAUGGACACCUGAUUUUUAUAAAAGCCUUUUUAUGCUUAUUCUAUAAACCCACUAUUCUACUUACAUAUGUAUAUUAAAAAUAUAUACAUGAACAUAUGCACCAAAUGACAUAUGUAAAAUUUAUUUGUAUAUCAGUCUUUCUUGUAUAAACAAAAACCGGAAACAAUCCAAAAGUCCAUCAAUAGAAAAAUGUAAAAAUAAACCAUGUUGUAUUCGUAUGAUGGCAACAGAAUUUAAGAUUUAAAAAAAAUAGUUGGAGCUCAUGGAUAUACUGUGAAGUAAAAAAGCUAGAUACAAAAGAAAAAAGCUGGAUACAGAAGAAAACAUACUAUAUGGCUUUGUAAAAUAUUCCAAAACAAGAAAACAGAACUGUGGUGUUCAAAGUCUGCGUGUUAGUUACUCUUCAUGGGGAAGGUAGAGGUGAUAAUUGGAAAGGGUCUAAUGGGGGUUUUCAGUGUUCUUGUAAUAUCCUGCUUCUUGAUCAGGGUGAUGGCUACAAAUAUGUUCUCUUUGUGGUAAUAUAUUGAGUUACAUAUGUAGUUUUGUGCACUUUUGUGUGUGUAUCAUAUUUUACUUAAAAUGUCAAAAGUAAAAAAAAAAAAAAUCAAAUUGAUUCCAAAGGAAUUUAUGCCAAUUUUUGUAAAUUAAGGUAAAAUGAAAUGGAAAAUAGUA